UGGGGAAUUUUUGACAAUGGGGGAAACCCUGAUCCAGUCAUCCCGCGUGUGCGUUGAAGGCCCUCGGGUUGUAAAGCACUUUUGUCAGGAAAGAAACGUCAUGGGUUAAUACCCUGUGAAACUGACGGUAUCUGCAGAAUAAGCACCGGCUAACUACGUGCCAGCAGCCGCGGUAAUACGUAGGGUGCAAGCGUUAAUCGGAAUUACUGGGCGUAAAGCGUGCGCAGGCGGUUCGGAAAGAAAGCUGUGAAAUCCCAGAGCUCAACGUUGGAACUGCAUUUUUAACUACCGGGCGAGAGUGUGUGAGAGGGGGGUGAAAUUCCGCGUGUAGCAGUGAAAUGCGUAGAUAUGCGGAGGAACACCGAUGGCGAAGGCGGCCACCUGGGAUAACACUGACGCUCAUGCACGAAAGCGUGGGGAGCAAACAGG
rnacentral:rRNA from 1 species